CCCCCCCGCGGUGAUUCCCUGCAGUCAGGAGUCUACACUGUCAAGGCGUCGGAGGCCUUGGAAAUGCCUUGGUUUGCAAGACCGGUAUCACUAGGCUGCAGUUACAGCGCCAGGAUCAUUUUCCUUCAUCAAGUGUCGCCCACACAACCCCUCACCUCGCCGGAGGACCACGUGGCCUAAUGGAUAAGGCGUCUGACUUCGGAUCAGAAGAUUGAGGGUUCGAAUCCCUUCGUGGUUGCUGCGGGGCUCACUUAUUACACUCCAGGCCCUUCCUGCUCUUUGAUGCUCCUGUUUUCUCGGUUCAAGUCGGUGAACAGAAUCUUCUCACGCUGACCUAACAGUUUUACGCCCCUCCCCUAGGCCUCCUCCGUUUGCGACCUCGCCGCCCCCUCCCACCCCCCGCCCCCACUCCGAGGGACUGUCCCUCGACGUCGCACAGCCCCCUCUCCUGGUCCGCAGCUGCCCCCGGACCUUCCCGGCCAGCCCGGCGCCUCCCGGCGCUACCCCAGCCUACAGAAUCGGGCGCUUCGGGGAGCCGGGGUUCCAGCCCGGCUGCAGGGGGCGCUGCCCGGGUCCCCGCGCCGCCGCGGCGCAGCACCCCAGGCCCGCCUCGCCUGCCGAGCGCCGGCCCACCGCGUCCCAAUCCUGCUAACGCCGCGAAAGUGAAGCCGCCCUGGGAACCCCAGCAAAGACGGGGGGCGGGAGGAGGCAGGACAAAGGUCACGCUUGAUGGUAGCCUCAGACAAAUGUAGGAAAGGGGUAGAAUUAGAAGGCCCCCCACCGUCCGCAAUCCCCAGAGAAAUAAGAGACUCAGAAAAGAGCAUGAACGAUGUUAAAACCCUAACACAGGGUUAUCGGGAAACAGCACGUGGUGUUAAAGGACAACCCCCCCCCCCGAAGAUUCCCUGCUAAUUGCACAGGGGGAGAAGGAAGCUCUGUGGGGACGAUUCUAUCUUCACCGACAGUGGAUGUCCUGACAAAUGCCUCUGGAUGGGAACUAAGUACUCUAUCAACUAGACAGUGUCAAGCCUCACAUUUUAACCUGAAUCUAAUCUAAUCGAAACGGAUCUAAUCCAUAAUUUCAAUUUAACUCCUGGUUUAAAGAGCAUCGAGGAAUAAAUAAAAGUUGCCUUGGGAGACACGGAGACAGACUCAGAAUGUGAGACUUUUACAAGAUAAUUGGCUUGGAUUUUUUUAUUUUUUAAGUCAAUGUCAAAACAGUAACGGGAACGAGAAGCUGGGAUACUGUUCUAAACUGAAAGGGACUAAGGAAACGUUGCAAAUCGAAGGCAAUGGAUGAAUGAUCUUUGACUGGAUCCUUGUUAGAAACACUGGCUCCUAAAGAUAUACUUAGAGAAACCCAAGUAAGGCCUAGAUGUUAGAUGUUUCUAUAAAGAACCGCUGGGGUUGUCAGUUCUGAUACUGAGGCUGUGGUUACCUAACACCUAUGUGCACCUGAUACUCGGGUACCUUGUAGGUGAUACAUCACGAUGUCUGCAAAGGAAUUUUAUAUGGCCCAGAAGAAAGAAGUAGAUAUGACUAAUAUGGCAAAAUGUUAACAAUUGUUGGAUCUGGAUGUUGGACCUACAGAUAAUUCCUUACUCUUUCAACUUUUUUUUAAGUUUGAAUAUUUUUAUGGUAAAAGUUCCAAUUAAAAAAAAAAAAAAAAAGUCUGGCAGGAGCUGCCCUGUGUAAACAGAGGCCAAAGAGCAAAAAAGGCACAGGGAUCCGAGGAAAUAUGCCGGAGCGUCAGCAUGAAGAAACCCGCACCUUGUGAGGAAGGCAGCCCACCUCCUUCAGGAGUCCCCAGGCCCUUUGGACGGAGUGGCCGAAAGGAAGCUGAGAAGUUAGAGAGCUCCCAUGACGAGCGCCUCUCCUGCAAUUUGUGACCUUCCUUAUAGGCCACAGAGUACCUUUUGAGAAUUCAAAGGAAGGAAGGGACACAAUCAGAUUUGCAGGCUCAGGUGAACAUAUCAGUUGGUGGUGACACAGCCCUACCUACAACAUCUCUGGUGUCCUCUCUCACCGCUGUCCCUCCCUGGACACCUCCAAAAUAGAAUGUUCCAGCAAGACAGAACAGUGUUCAGUUUCUCUCCUAUUCUGUGUGGUUUAGGUCUUUCCAGUUGGGCCAGCAUCCUUCAGAUCUGAGCUUGAAUAUGACUCAUCCCACAUAUAUUCAUAGAGCAUCCAUCUACCCAUUCGGAGGCAGCAAAGGUAGAACCGGAAACUGGCUUCACGCAACUCGGAGCCUAACGACUUACUCUCCAGGCAACCACCCAGGAUGACCAUGUCUGGGGCCUGGCACUACCUCAAUAGGCCACUUGGUGUCCUGGACCCCUCGCUUGGAUACCCAAUUGUAAACAUUCACUUGUAUAGUCAUUUGCUCUAGAAAGUCCUCAAAGGAGUGGCGUAUUUUCCUUCUCUCCACUGAGUGAGCAGCUCCUAGCAGGAUGCAUGACACAAGAUUGUGCUCAGAACAAUUUUGAAAGAAUGAAGAAAUGAACCCGUUCAGGGACAAGAGCCUGGAGGCCAAAGUACUUCUAAGAAGUUGUUGCAAUAACUCCUAUGAGAAACUCUAAGAAGCUGAUCUAAGAAAAUGGACCUGUGGCUCUGGAGUAAGAGCCAGAUCUGAGAAAAAAAUUAGGAGGCUGAACUGAAGGCUUGAUAAGCUGUGGGCUAUGGGGAGAGAGUCAGAGAAAGGAAGAAAAUUAAGGUGAGUUCUCAGUCUUUGGUUUUGGCUCCUGAUAAAAUCUGAGUUGUUGAAGGAGGUUCAAGCUUGGGGAGAAAGGGUAGGUAGAGCAUUCGUUUUGAGAUGCUCUUGAGAUGCCCAUGCACUUGCAAAAAGAAAUGACCAAGACAGCUAUAUAGUAUGAAGUCCAGAAGAAUGGCCUGGGCUGGAGAUAAUUUUCAGCACAUGAGCAGUAGAUUGCCAGUCAUGUCUCAUCCUUCUUCUGUUCACUGAAUGGAGCUAUCGAUGAAGUACAGAAUCUUGGAUUUGCACACUAAUACAUCCACACUCCUACACAUACAGGUAAGAUUGUGAUACUCAUGGUUGUGUAGUUUCAGAAAUGUGGAGAUCCUGGGAUCCGUGCUUGCUCUGAAGGUGAUUUUUGCAGAUUCUUUGUAACUAUCAUCUGCAGAGUAUCAGAUACAGCUGCUCUUCCCCUUGGGAGAGAAGGCCCCACACUGUGAAACAGACUUGACUUUCAGAAAUAUUUUCUACUUGCCUAUUUCAUUCCACAGUAUGCAUUCAGCUGCUUUAAAAUACUUUGAGCUUUGCCAAGAAACAGGAGAUAGGCUUCCCUAUAGAACAUUUUGAUGGGUCCCCUUUCUUGAAUUUAAAAAUGAUAGAUACAAUAGCAGCUGACAAUUUAUUGAGCCCUUACUGUAUUCCAGCCACUGGAUUAAGUGCGUGAAGACAUAAGGUAUCUGUGAGGACAUCAAUGUCAGAUUAUUCACUGAGAAUAAAUGUCCUACGGCGAAAAUAUGAGGGUUUUUAAAGUAUCAUUUGAAGGCGAUUAGUUAAAGAAGAUCAUCGCAACAAAUCGCUGAUUUGGGUUCUAGAAAAGACCCAAAAAGGGUUCUCAGUUUGCCACGUGCUGGAAUGCAGGUUGGGUGUCAUUAGCAGGGAUCAUUUCUUUUGUUGUCUUGUGUUACUAAAUCCUGAAGUAGCCUAGAAUACAUGAUAUAUGGUACCAUGGAGGAGGUGGGGAUAAGAAGACUGUGCUGGCUGUAGUCGUGGCCGAGUGGUUAAGGCGAUGGACUAGAAAUCCAUUGGGGUCUCCCCGCGCAGGUUCGAAUCCUGCCGACUACGACGGGUGGAUUUUAUAUAUUUGCUCUUCUUCCAGUGCAGUGUACUCGAUCUUCAGUCACAGCCUACUUUUAAAAACAUUAAAACAUUCGCUCAGAUGUUUUCAAGUGACAUCAAAAUGGAAGAAUUCUUACUGACCGCAAAGGAAUCCUAUUGUAUGAGUGAACCCAAACAAAAGAACUAAUUGAACUCUUUCGUUUGAAUUCUUAAGUUUCGGGGUUGGAAAUCCUGGUGAUAGGGAAAAUAAAGUUGGAAGGGAAGAUUUUCACACAUUCAUAUUUAGAGCAACCUAGUCAUUCUACCGCUUCCUUUUUCUUGUAGUGUAAAUAAGGUUAACGCCCGUGGGCCAGUGGCGCAAUGGAUAACGCGUCUGACUAUGGAUCAGAAGAUUCCAGAUUUAAUUUUUUACGAGUGGUUUUAGAUUCACAGCAAAACUGAAGAAGUUACCUACACAUGCUUCACAGUGCACAGCGUCCCCUGCUAUCAACACGGGCUACCAGCAAGUACCUCGUCCAGACACUUGGACCUAAUCCUGGAGAUCUAAGGACAUGGACUCUUGGAACAAACCAUUUCGUUCUGGCCAGGCCCCUCCUACAGACUGUCUGCGGCCACCAUCGCCUACCUGCUGACAGAUCCCCACCCCCACCGUAUCAGUAGCUUGUCUAGGUCUCCAAACAACUUUGUUCAUGUCUCAUGUCUCACUACUGAGACCCUCACACCCUCUUUAACCAGACACAUUGCUGAAAUCUUCGAGGAGCCGCCUCCUGACUGCUCACCUGGACAUGCUCUGGGCCUGCCACCAUCUCCUCACUCGGAGCUGUCUCCCCUGGCCGCUGGGUUCCUCCUGAUUCCUGCAGUGGUCCCCACCCCAGGGCCGCCCUCCAGCCUCCCGUCCCCGCCCUGUAGGCCACAUUUUGACUGCGUCUGCAGUGCCAACAUAAAUUUAUGUUUAGGAGAAGAAACAGGGGCCCAGUGUAAGUAAAGUGUGUUUAAAACCUAAAGAUCCACACUCAUUAUGGUGGUUAUUACCAAAAAAGAAAAAGAAAAG